rnacentral:tRNA from 1 species
UCCCUGGUAGUAUAUCGGUUCAGUACACGCGCCUGUCAUUGAUUGGGUCGCGCGAGAGCCGGGUUCGACUCCCGGCCGGGGAG